CUGUAGUCCCAGCUACUCAGGAGGCUGAGGCAGGAGAAUGGCGUGAACCCGGGAGGCAGAGCUUGCAGUGAGCCGAGAUCACACCGCUGCACUCCAGCCUGGGCAACAGAGCAAGACUUUGUCUCAAAAAAAAAAAAAAAAAUCAACUUUUUUUCUAUAUAUAUAUAUAUAGGAUUUCUUUGCUUUCCAGUCCUUUCUACUCACAAGUUUUGUUUCAGAAGUGCUUGACCGUAAAUAAAUUCCAAUAAUGAGCAUGGCCGAGCCACAGAGCUUCAUUUUUUAAACAGUAGUUUUCUGUAUCUUGCAUUAUUUUAAAUGUAGAUUUGAAAAAAUGCCACAGAGCUCUGUGUGGCUCCUUUUCCAAGGUGAUUUCCACGCAUUCCGCGUCAUGGAGAAGGGCCGUGAGGAGGCUCCACGGGGAACGGACUCUCGGUGAAUUACACAUUAGCGUGGGCAGCUCUGUGUCACACGCUGCAGCAUUGAGAGCAUCUGUGGGGCCCAUCUUCUGAAACGGAGGCGCUCGGGGCUCACUGUGGUGCCCACGGGUCUGUGCCGCUGAAGUGGGCACCCUCCCUCGAGCCUCGUGAGGGAAGCGGCCGUCCCUCGGUGUGGGGCUGGUCUGCCGCAGGCGCCUCCCUGUGUCACCUGGACGGCCACACGGCCUCUGCCACAAUCGGCCCUUUCAGUCCCUCAGAAGCACUUGGGUUUAAAAAGUCUCGAUGUCAUUAAAACAACAAGCAGGUAGACGAGGCGGCCGGAGCGUGUCUGCCGCAGUCUGGGCUGUGAACUGGCCCCUCACCUGCCCCUCCUCCUGAGCCCGAGCUGCUCCAGAGAGAACAAAAAGCUCUCCUCAUGGAAAGUUUUACUAACCUGGCCCAGCGCCCAGGUCUGAGGCCUUCCCCGCGGCUGAGGAUGAUUGAAAGGGUCUGUGUGCCGCGAUCAAACACGCAGCGUCGUUAACGUUGCAGACGUCGGCUACCGCGUGAUGGAUGGAGCAGUGAACUCAGCCGUGCAAAUCAUUCAUUAGGGUCAGUGCUUGGUGCCUUGGGACUGCUGCGUGGGGGUUUCGAGGCAUAAAAAUCGCACCGCACACCCCCAGAGACGGAGCCUGCUGUCAGCGGGGCGGGCCGGGCCAGGCUGCGGAACGGGCUCUCCAGAGGCUGCUGAAGAGGCAGCUCCCCAAUGCCAGGAGCCUGUCCAGCCCCAGGCCCAGAGCUGCUUCCUCAGGGAGCCGACCCUGUGACGUGCCCGAGGUGAGGCAGCCACCAGAGGCCGCAUCCAAACCUGUGCGCCAGGCAGCGUGUGGUCCAAGGCACAGAGGUUGACUCACGUGUUUCAGUUCCUCUCUAGAAAACUUGCUCCCACCUGGUCUCAGCCAGCAAGCGCGAGGGAUGGUGAGAAAGUUGAGAGCGGGCACACGCCCCCCAUUAACCUGGUACAGCCAGGGGAAGGCAAGAGCGGGCACACGCCCCCCAUGAACCUGGUACAGCCAGGGGAAGGCGAGAGCGGGCACACGCCCCCCAUGAACCUGGUACGGCCGGGGGAAGGCGAGAGCAGGCACAUGCCCCGCAUUACCCUGGCACGGCCAGGGGAGCACGGAGCCCAUGGCUGGAGAACCCUGGGGCAGCUGCAGUGGCAAGUGUGCCCUUUCAGGAAACGGGGGCAAGGAUGGUGCUGAGAUGGGCACUGAACAAAGCUCUAAAAACGGGCUGAGUGGGCCGUGCUCAUACUGUGUGGGUGCUGCCACAGGUCUCCCGCCCUGGUGUGCAGGCUGUGAGGCCGCAGUGCCUCCGUCCUUCCCUGAGGUGGGCACGGGAGAGAAGAGAGGUGCACACUCCUGUGAGCUGCCCACAGGCUGCUCCUCGGGGCCUGUGAGGUUCUGGGCACUUUUUAAAAUUGCCUGAAGAUACUCACUGUGGACACAGAAUGCUUUGAAUUCUACACUGUUUAGAAUGGAAAUAUCAGUCUACGGUCCAAUUAUGUAUACUUGGAAGGGAAAUUUGGCGGUAUCGUUUUCAGCUAUUAACCUUCUGCCUUUGACUUCUCGAAAGUGGGUCUUAGCUUGUUUCGGCGUUAAGCGGAGAGCUGUCUGAAGUCAGUAACCGGAGGGAGGGACAUAGGGACGAGGUGGAAGGAAGCAAGAGGGAAGAGCUGGGAAGAUUUCAUGGAACUUGGAUGAUGAGCGCUGUUUAGAUCUAUUUUGUGCCAAAGAAAAUGCACGGCCAGUGGCAGCAAAGAGACCAAGCCCUGAUGUUGAGCCGCGACUGCACGUCUGGGCGGCGUGGGGCGUGUUUGCAACGUCUCUGUCAUCUUGCUUAGGCAAGCCGUGAACGGUAGUAAGGCUUUUGCGAGUGUGCCGUGAACGGUAGUAAGGUGUUCGCGAGUGUGUUAUUGUAACGCUGUGUUUUUCUUGUGUAGAUGCACUGUUUUCCUCCUACAAAUGGGGCCAAACUUUACAGAAACAUUUUAAGUGUCAUUGUCACCAUUUCAAAUCAAGUUGCCUGGCCUCCUGCUACUGCCGUACGUUCUCUCUUCCUACUGCGUAGACAUUUCAAAGAGCUUCCUUAUUUAAGAAUCAGUGUUCUUUAUAGACACGCUUAGAUCUGAGCCAGCACGUCACACUGCUGUGCUGUGGCACCACAGCGUGAAGCCAUGAGCAAGGUAUUUAAAAGCAUAACAGCCACGUUGAGCGCCCAGAGGCCAACAGCCCGUCAGAGGGAGAGAGGUGGCCGGGGCAGUGGAGGGCUCUGCCCAUGGCUAUCAGACAGCCGUGUUCUUGCCAGAGCAGCCAGGGCCAGGCCGCUAAGCUGGGCACUUGGCUCUCCCUGGAGCUCGAGCACGGGCACGUUCAGGUGAUCUUCCUGAUAGCGAAGUGUGUUUCUGCACGUGGACUCCUGAGGAGCAGCGAGGAACUGACUCACACAUUCCACCAAGCCCAGGCUAGAAAGAGAGGACGGUCGGAACCAUAGUGUUCUCUUCCUAUCGAUGCUGAGAGAGUCACUCCUGAGGUCACACAUCCUUGCCAGCAAACAGAAGACCCGGAUAGCAAUCCUAGGGCUUGUCCUGGAUGUGUAGCCUUUGUACAUUCCAAAGUGACCUUUUACACAUCUUCUCCUGUGCGUGUUCAGCCUUAGAACGGCCCUGUGGGCAGGCAGAAAUGCCGGUACUCACCACCCCCCUUCCCCAGGGGGACACCGAGGUCAGAGAGAUGCCGCUGGACUUGCUCCAAGCCAGUCGAUGAGGCCGAACCAGGAGUGCCCCAACCCCAGCACCAAGGCCCACAUGCUGUCAUGGGUCCCAGUUCUGCCGUUGAGUAUUUUCUUCCCACUAGAGAGAGGUGAUGAGCAAAGAUUUCUGCUCAGAACUCCUAACAUCCAAGUAUGAGUUGGCUUUGCAAGCCAAACGGGAGCAUGGUGUCUGCUUUUCUUCAGAGAAUUUGACUGUUCUCUAAGGCGUGUUUCCGUAAGAAGGACUGGAGAGGAGCAGGCCUUCUGAACUGCUGGAGAGCAUCUUGAAUCAGCUCUUGCCCAAAGCAACAAAAAUACAGCAACACUGUCAAAUCAACCAAGAGGACAGAACAAAUGCAGACGUUCACUCAAGGAACGUGGCCCCAGGGGGAAGAAAAGGAUGGCGGUGUCUUCACCUGGGGCCGCUCCACCCCUGCUCCAGCCCCGAGGCGCACAGCCGUGGAAAGCCAGUGACAGCACAGACCUUGGAGGAACUGGGCUCUGUUGAAAACCCAUCCCAGGAUGCAGUCCACAUGUGGACUGGUCACGGAGCUCCUGGAAAAGGCCCGUCCCCAGGCACAAUCACCGUUGGCUGCAGUCGGGAUCGUGGGAGCUGCCCCAAGGCUGUGAUCACCAUUGAAGCAAACGAGCCUGACCAGACCAGGUGGCCCCCGGGGACUUUGAAAAACCUUGGAGAUUCCCAGGGACCUGGAAGACGGCACGUAUGAAAAUGGAGGUGUGAAGGCUUCACAACAGAGACAGCCAUGGCCACUCUCCUCCGGCUGAUCUCAAAACUCCACCAAGCAGAAGUGAAAGCUAAAGCUACCUGUGGCUGGGAGGCAGGUCCUGGCACACAGGUUUCAUGACUAGAGGGAGGAGACUGGUUUCGUGGCUCAAGGAUUUAAGGAAACCUCCUGUCUGGUAACAGCAGGCCAUUAAACGCUGCUAACCUGAGGGUGAUCCCUAGGCAGCCUGGCUUAAAGACAGAGACAAGAUUUAAAAACAGAACAGAAAACUCAGUGUCCGCAUACUACAAGGAAUACAACAUCUAGAUAACUAGUCUGGGAAACUCAUGAAUCACAUAAGCAACAACAAGGAGACGGGGAAGCCAAGAAACAAUUCCUAUUUGGAGGGGGAUGGGGGGAAUCUUAUUUCAGAGUCGCUGCAAUGCAUUGCCUGUCAUCUGCAGUUAUAAACCAGAAAAUUACAGUACAUGCAAAGAAACAUGAAAACAUGUCCCAUCCACAGGAAGAAAAAUCCGUAGCCCCUAAGAGGGCUCAAGUAUUAAACCAGCAAAGCUUUUAAAUCAGCUGCAAUGAAUACGCUGAAAGAACUAAAAGAAAUUAUAUUUAAAGAAUUACAGGGAAGUAUGGCAAAUAUGUCUCACCAGAUAGAGAAUAUCAAUAAUGAGACCUUUUAUUUUAAAAAGAGCCAAAUAGAAAUUACAGGGUUGAAAAUUAUAAGAACUGAAAUGAAAAAUGCAUUAGAGAGGCUGAACAACAUAUAUGAACUGGCAGAGAAGAAGAAUCAACAAACUUAAAAAUCAACAGAUGAUUUAGACUGAGGAACAGAAGAAAGAAUCAAUAACAAUGAACAAAGCCUCAGAGCGUGUGGGACACCAUAAACACUCGUGGUAAUGAGUUACAGAAAAAGAGAGACGAUUAGAAAAAAUACAUGAAGAAAUAAUGGCCCCAAACUUCCUAAAUUUGAUAGAAAACAUUAUUCAGUGCAUCUAGAAGGUUCACAAAAUUCAAGUAGGAUAAAUUAAAAGCAUUUAAUUUAAUUUGAAUAAAUUAAAAGCAGUUCACUCAUAGACACAAACCAAACUGUUGAAAGUCAGAGAGAGACAAUCCCAAAAGCAGUCAGAGAAAAACAGCUUCUCGGUACAUGGAAUGCUGAGUAAGAUUAACAGCUAGCUUACCAUUCCAAAUCGUGGAUGUCAGAGGACAGUGGCAUAGCGUAUUCAAAAUGCUGAAAGAAAACAACUGUCAACCAAGAAUUCUAUGUCUAGUAAAAAUCACCUUUCGAGAUGAGAAACAAAGCUGUGCUCAGAUAAACAAGACACACAGAAUUGUUGCCAAUAGUCCUGAACUACAGCAAAUAUUAAAGGGAGUCCUUCAGGGUGAGGUAAAAAGCACUGGUGAGAGUAAUUACAUAGGUUAAUUAAAAAGACAGUACAAACAUGUUUUAAACUUUUCUUCUCUGAACUGAUUUAAAAGGAAACUGCAUAAGACACAAUUGCAAACCUGUGCUGAUAAUAAUGUGCUUAUAACCAUUUGUGUGACAGUAGCACAAAGGAAGGGGUGGGGAAGGAAGUUAGAGCAAAGCACAGUUUUUAUGUAUUAUUAGAACUCAGUAUUAAUCUGAAAUAGACUGUUUUGAGUAAGAUGCUUAUUGUAAUCUCCAGAGGAACCACUAAGAAAAUAAUAUAUAUGUGUGUGAGUGUAUCUCUCACACACACACACACAAUAAAAUAUCAAAAAAUGCACUUAAGUGAUACACUAGAAAAUAUGUGUGUAACACAAAAUAAGCCAGUAAUGAAGGAACAUAGAAACAAUGACAACAGCAAAAAUUACACAAGACAUGUAUAGAACAAAGAGCAAAAUGGAAAACAUCCUACUGUAUCAAUAAUCAUGUUAAAUGUCAAUGGAAUAAACACGCCAAUAAAAAGGUAGACGUUGUCAGACUGAAUUUUGAAGACAGAAUGAAACAGGAUACAACCAUAUGCUGUCUAAAAAAUACAUAUUUUAGAUGUAAAGACACAAAUAGGUUGAAAGUAAAAUGAAAAAGAUAUUGUACAAAUAGUAAUCAAAAGAGAUAUAGAGAUAAUGGAAAAUAAACAUACUUCAGAUUUAAAGACACAAAUAGGUUGAAAGUAAAAGGAUGAAAAAGAUAUGCAGAGUUAAUGAAGAGAUUUGGAGUUAGCUACACUAAUCAGACAAAUUAAACUCUAAGAUGAAAAUAUUACUAGAAACAAUGAACUGUCAGUAGUAAUGUUCUAUUUUAUCAUAAAACUGAUACAUUGAACAGGAAGGUAUAAUAAUUAUAAACACAUUUGUACAUAACAGAGCUCCAUAGUACAUGAAACAAGAACUGACAGUUAAAGGGAGAAAUACAUAGUUGAAAAAUAAUAGCUGGAGACUUCAAUAUAUCACUCUUAAUGGGUAGAAAAACUAGACAGAAGGCCGGGCGCGGUGGCUCACGCCUGUAAUCCCAGCGCUUUGGGAGGCCGAGGCGGGCAGAUCACAAGGUCAGAAGAUCGAGACCACGGUGAAACCCCGUCUCUACUAAAAAUACAAAAAAUUAGCCGGGCGUGGUUGUGGGCGCCUGUAGUCCCAGCUACUCG
rnacentral:lncRNA from 1 species